UACGUAGGGUGCAAGCGUUGUCCGGAAUUAUUGGGCGUAAAGAGCUCGUAGGCGGUUUGGUAAGUCGGAUGUGAAAUCUCCAGGCUCAACUUGGAGGGGUCAUUCGAUACUGCCAUGACUAGAGUUCGGUAGGGGAGUGUGGAAUACCUGGUGGAGCGGUGAAAUGCGCAGAUAUCAGGUGGAACACCCGUAGCGAAGGCGGCACUCUGGGCCGGAACUGACGCUGAGGAGCGAAAGCGUGGGGAGCGAACAGG
rnacentral:rRNA from 1 species